GGGAGAGGGAAGGAGGCUGUGACCCUGUGGCUUUUCCUUUGUAGACGAGUUCUUCCACUUUGUCCUUCUGUGCUUCGCCAUCGGGGCCUUGCUGGUGUGCUACCAUUACUAUGCAGACUGGUUCAUGUCCCUCGGGGUUGGCCUGCUCACCUUCGCCUCUCUGGAGACCAUGGGCAUCUACUUUGGGCUGGUGUACCGUGUCCACAGCGUCCUGCAGGGCUUCAUCCCCCUCUUCCAGAAGUUAAUAGGGUUCAAGAAGACCCACUGAGGCCACGGGGACAGAGCCACGUUCUGGGAGACCACAGGAGGCCAUCCCAAAGCAAUCAAGAGAGUUCUUUUCCUUCCAUGUGGGCUGGACCUUGGCAGGAGCCCAGGCCGGGGCAUCAUUUGGGCAGCCCCAGAAUUCCAUCCAGCUGCCAGGGUGGAGGGCAGAGGGAGGGCGCGGGCCUGAGCCCUUCCCAGGCACCCGGAUCAGCAGGAAGUUUCUGCAAAAGCGAUGGUUCUGGGCAGGGGGCCCAAGAGCCCAGGGGACCCUCCAGGUGGGCGCUCUGUCUGGGCUUCUGGUUUCUUCCAAAUCUCAGACCAUGCUGAUGCGCUCUGAGAUCCAAAGAGCCACCCUGGGGCAGAGCUUACUACCCAGAGCCAUGGAGCCACCAGGCUGGGUCCCCCCCCAGUGAACCUGAUGCAGGUAAGAAGAAGGGGACCAACACCACAGCCCCUGGGAAUUUUCCCUCAGCCCUGCUGUCCCCAAAGCCAUCAAUUCAAAUAAACACUCUCCUGCAC
rnacentral:lncRNA from 1 species